rnacentral:rRNA from 1 species
UACGUAGGGUGCGAGCGUUGUCCGGAAUUAUUGGGCGUAAAGAGCGCGUAGGCGGUGUAUCGCGUCGGCCGUGAAAACCUGGGGCUCAACUCUGGGCGUGCGGUCGAUACGGGCAUCACUUGAGUUCGGCAGGGGAGACUGGAAUUCCUGGUGUAGCGGUGAAAUGCGCAGAUAUCAGGAGGAACACCGGUGGCGAAGGCGGGUCUCUGGGCCGAUACUGACGCUGAGGAGCGAAAGCAUGGGUAGCGAACAGG